GAUGAACGCUGGCGGCGUACCUAAUACAUGCAAGUCGAGCGAACAGACGAGGAGCUUGCUCCUCUGACGUUAGCGGCGGACGGGUGAGUAACACGUGGAUAACCUACCUAUAAGACUGGGAUAACUUCGGGAAACCGGAGCUAAUACCGGAUAAUAUAUUGAACCGCAUGGUUCAAUAGUGAAAGACGGUUUUGCUGUCACUUAUAGAUGGAUCCGCGCCGCAUUAGCUAGUUGGUAAGGUAACGGCUUACCAAGGCGACGAUGCGUAGCCGACCUGAGAGGGUGAUCGGCCACACUGGAACUGAGACACGGUCCAGACUCCUACGGGAGGCAGCAGUAGGGAAUCUUCCGCAGUGGGCGAAAGCCUGACGGAGCAACGCCGCGUGAGUGAUGAAGGUCUUCGGAUCGUAAAACUCUGUUAUUAGGGAAGAACAAAUGUGUAAGUAACUAUGCACGUCUUGACGGUACCUAAUCAGAAAGCCACGGCUAACUACGU
rnacentral:rRNA from 1 species